CUUUUAUUGUGAAAAAAAGUAAUUGCGGAAGUAGAGCGGAGUUUUAUUGUGAAAGAUCCAAUUGGCGUCAGCGGAAGUAGAGUGACGUGACCGCGGACGCUUGACUGACUGAAGUCACAGCGGGAACUAGUCCGUGAAAAAAACGUUGUGGCGCAAACAAAUACGUAGUUGAUGUUGUAAUUCUCCGACAGCCGUCAUCAGGAACGUGCCUGCACGUAUUCUCUGUGGCCAACCGGAGGUAUGUGGACCCGAGGUUUAUCACGCUGUCGUUUGCAUUAGCUUCACGUGUGUUAGCUCAUUAGCGCUCAUUAGCAUGGAAGUGAACGGACUCGUAGCCGCGUGGCUAACCCCAGCUAGCUGAAGGGCUCCUGUUGGCGCGUCGUGAUCGACGUGAAGCAGUUCGUGAGACUUUGUGCCAGAAGCUGUUGCAGCGAACGCGCCGAGCUUCUUCCGACUCGCGGGAGCGGGCCGCGCCGUCUCCGCCAUUUUGGAUCUUCGCGGGAGACACGACUGGUGACGUCAACAGCUGCCGAGGCCACGCCUCUCCGGACACCUGCUCCUUACACCUGAAUAAGAGGCUGGUUUGUCUCGUCGUGACUAAACGGAAAUGAAGACGGCCUGAACUGCUGCUUCCAUUUCCCAGUGGAGGGAAGGUUUCAUGACGACAGGCAGCGCAGACAAAUCCUCGCCUCCCCUCACAGCCGUGUCCCAAACGUCGGCCUGUCAAGAAUGAGAAAAGAGCUCAUCUUCCACUUUGAGACACGCGCUGCACUUCUGAUGUGGCACAAAGGAUUUUCAAUGUUUUGGCUUUGUCUCCGAUAAUCCUGGACUUUUUAAUCCUCGGGGAAACGAUAUCGGCCGUCGGUAAGAUUUUUAAAUAUCUGUAAAGGCACUUUUACGUGCCAUGACUGUUCACAGACGAGGUUCUAUCAGGAUCUCAAUUUAGUCUCACGCUGUAAACGUCUGUGUGUAAGAGGUGAGGACUGAUACUGAACGGCAGCUUCAAGACGGAGGGUUCUUCGCUCCGUCCACGUGGCCUCUGGUUCGUCGGCGCUGACGCAGUAAAGGCCCCCGUGACACCAGGCGGGAUCUUAUGCUCCCGAUGUGGAGGUUUUAUGAAUCAGAUUUGGAUGCUGCGGACUGUAACACAGCAUCCGUCGCUCUGAGAGACCAACAUCUCCUUCCACCUCAUCUGGAAACCGAAUUCAAGAAUAUCUGAAAAUCUGUCUUCAGUACAAUGAUGUAUGGAAUCUUGAUUUAAUACUGAGGUAAGUUUGGGUAAGAUUGAUUUUCACUUUUUCAUUUUUUUUUCAUCUUGACGCUGCCGAGCUUUGUUGAAUGAAUCAGGUCCUUUUGGCCCAUUCGCAGGAAUUUUAUCAUUGAUCUGCUGAAGAGAAAGAUAUUUUUCUCACAAGUUUACAUCUAUCAUCUGGAUGCAAACAGAAUCUUAAUCCUUGGGUCUAAAUCAGCAGGUCUGGGUUCUGUAUAAGCCGACGUUAUGUCUCACAGUAAGUUGUGUGUGCGUGCAGUUCUGCUGCCCCCAAGUGGACAAAAAUCUAUUUAUGUUUAUAAACUAAAUAAAACCAAAUAUAACUGAGAAAUUUGAGGUAAUUAUAGAAUAAAUGUAAUUAAAUGGCUUCUCUUUCUACUUUGUAAUAUCAGCAUACAUCACAGUUUAAUCUAAUUCACAGAAAUGUCAUAAACUUUAUGUAUUGCAUUGUUUUUGGAACUGACAGCAAGUAAACAGACGUUUUGGGUUGUAAUUCUUGCUGUGGCCACCAGGAGGCAAUGUCACCGUUUUGUCUGUGUGUAGGAACGAUCAGUCAAAAUAAUGUGUUUGUGUGAGGUGUUGUAUGGUUGUUUUUUUUUGACUGUAUCCACACUCACAUAAUGGGAACUUGUCUUCCUUAUGGGGAUAAACACAACAACAACAAUAAUGAUAAUAACCUGUUUAUAUAGCGUUUUUUAAAACUCGUACUUUAUAAAAACAUAACCAGUAAAUCACAACAAACAUUGAAAUCCAGUCUUAAAUAGUGGGAUUUUAAAAGUGACUUGAAAGAACAUAAAUCAUGACAUUAGAGCACAAAGACGGGAUCGAAGGUCAAAGAGUAACAACCUUUUCAUUUGAGUUCCAGCUCACGUCCUCUCCUCAGCCAAUCAGCUCCGUGAUCUGAUCUCUGCUGGUCACGUGUGAAGUUUCCUCGGGUCUCGUCUAUCUGCUCAUCUCCGUGUUCAGUUGUUCUGCACCAUAGACCGGAAGGCUUCUAUCACUUCUGGAGCCACAGGAUAUUGACCAAUAUUAAAAAUACAUAUUUCAAUAAUUAGACCUAAACCUGUUUAUAAUGUUGCAUCUAUUGUUGCAUCGAUUGUGUUACAGUCUCUUUGCACUGGUUUCCAGUUUAGUUAUUUUAGAAUGCAUUUAGUUUGCAUCAGAGAACUUUCGAAAAUAUGUAAGAUAUUUAGGAUCUAUAAGCAACGUUUAUCAAUUUCAAAGUAGCUCCACCUGCAAUCGUUUUCUCUGAUCAAUGGUCUCCGUAUCACGACAUUCAAAUCUUAAUCUGCAGGUAUUAGAUGCUCACAUCCUGUGGAUUUGAACGAUACACUGUCUGUAGUUAUUUGCAAACAGUCUGUCAGUUACAGUUUGAUAUAAAAUAUAAAAUCCAUGUGACUGUUUGUUACAGUUGAAACGAUCAAACGGUUCAUAAGAACAUCUCAAGCUACUUCAUCAACAGAACUCCAGCUGGACGCUCGACGUCCUCCUGAGGAAUCUUCUCUCACUUUAUUUCACUGUGAACUUCGUCGACUCGUCCACAGACUCACACACGAGAGUUCACAGGGAAGACAAAUUAAAAACACUGAGGAAAAGUCUCUGUUCUGUUAUUAAAAUAUGAUGUAAACAGUUUCAGCUCAGUUCUGUCUACAAUGAAUCAUUAUACUGUAUCACUGUGUUCAAAUGUAACGUGUCUCUGAUCAGGUGUUUAAUAAAAUGUCUAUGAGAUUAAAAUGUC